AAUAUAUCGGAACGUGCCCAGUCGUGGGGGAUAACGCAGCGAAAGCUGUGCUAAUACCGCAUACGAUCUACGGAUGAAAGCGGGGGAUCGCAAGACCUCGCGCGAUUGGAGCGGCCGAUAUCAGAUUAGCUAGUUGGUGGGGUAAAGGCCCACCAAGGCGACGAUCUGUAGCUGGUCUGAGAGGACGUCCAGCCACACUGGAACUGAGACACGGUCCAGACUCCUACGGGAGGCAGCAGUGGGGAAUUUUGGACAAUGGACGCAAGUCUGAUCCAGCCAUUCCGCGUGCAGGAUGAAGGCCUUCGGGUUGUAAACUGCUUUUGUACGGAACGAAACGGCCUGUCCUAAUACGGCGGGUUAAUGACGGUACCGUAAGAAUAAGCACCGGCUAACUACGUGCCAGCAGCCGCGGUAAUACGUAGGGUGCGAGCGUUAAUCGGAAUUACUGGGCGUAAAGCGUGCGCAGGCGGUUAUAUAAGACAGAUGUGAAAUCCCCGGGCUCAACCUGGGAACUGCAUUUGUGACUGUAUAGCUAGAGUACGGUAGAGGGGGAUGGAAUUCCGCGCGUAGCAGUGAAAUGCGUAGAUAUGCGGAGG
rnacentral:rRNA from 1 species